rnacentral:rRNA from 1 species
UACGUAGGUGGCAAGCGUUGUCCGGAUUUACUGGGCGUAAAGAGCGCGCAGGCGGUCGUUCAAGUCGCGUGUGAAAGCCCCCGGCUCAACUGGGGAGGGUCACGCGAUACUGAUCGACUCGAAGGCAGGAGAGGGUAGUGGAAUUCCCAGUGUAGAGGUGAAAUUCGUAGAUAUUCGGAGGAACACCAGUGGCGAAGGCGGCUCACUGGUCCGGUACUGACGCUGAGGUGCGAAAGCGUGGGGAGCAAACAGG